UAAAUAAAAAAAAUAUAAAUAUUAUUAUUUAAUAGUUUUAACGUUUAAAGUAUAAUAAUUGUUUCACACAGCAUCAUAGCAGAAUAUUUUGAGUUUGAAAUACGUCACACUUCUAAUAUUAUUAUUAUUUUUUUCAUUUAAUUUUAGCGCACAUCAUGGACCCAGACGUGCUUAAAUUCUUAGGAACUGUUUGCUUAGAUGUAAGUAUAAAUACAGUGUAAUUAGAUAUGCAUGUAGUUAAAACUGCAGCAGUUACAACUACAUGCAUCCUGUUUUGUUGCAUUUAGUAGAAAACGUUGCAAAUAUAAAUAAUUUGUUUGGUUGCAUGCAGUUGAGAAAUAAUUUUUAAAAUUUUAUCAUUUUAUGUACAUGAUGGUGUGAAUUUCCUCCAACGUAAAAUAAAAUAAUUAUAAAAAAAAUUGUUUAGAAAAUAAUUGAGCAGAUAAGUAUAUAUUUUAUUUAAAGUUACUCUCUCGAACUACUACAGUUGGAACUACGGCCAAUUUGGACGUAGUUCGAACUGCUGCAAUUGGGCCUCCUCCUGCAGAUUCUACUGUAGCAGUUAGAGUUAAAUAUAUCAAACCAAACAUCAAAUUUGUAUUUGUAUGCAAUUAUAACUACAGCGCAGUUACAACUAUAUGCAACCAAACAGCCCAUUAGAGUACAAUGAUUGUUUCACACACGCCAAUCCAAGCUUCUUGUUCUUUAUAUCACCGAGUCCAACUGAAAAACGUCUAAUUGCUCCAAGCACUUAGGUUUUGUUUGGUUCGAAAAAAAAUAAAAACUGCUUAUUUCGUGGAUGAGUAUAAAUUCAAAUGUAAGCAAGAACUAGAAUAAGUUUGAUGAAAAUUAGGUUGUUUCAGAAAAUAAGGUAAUAGUAUUUGAAUAGUUAGAUUGGAAUAGGGGGAAUAAAAAAUAAUUAUACUUUUAAAUUAAUAAUAUUUUAUCUAAUUAAGUAGUAUCAAAAUAUUAAUUAAACGUAAUUGAAUAAAUUGAAAUUUUUAUUAGCUUUGAAUAUUGUAUACGAUAAUAAAGAAAUUAUAUUAAAUUAGUUAAUUAUAUUAAUUAUUGUUUAAUUGAUUAUAAAAUAUAAUUUAACUUUUUAAUUAAUUAGUAAAUUAUUUAAUUAGUUAGAUGAUUUGUUAAUUUAAUUAGUUGACUGAUAUAAAUAUUAGUUAUUAGCUAACACAUUAUAUAAUUAAUUCUUAAUGAGUUAAUUAACAAUAAAUAAUAAAUUAAUAAAUUAUUUAACUGUUUAAGGAAUAAAUAAUUACUUAAAUACAUUGAUUAGAUUAAUUAAUAAGUUAAUAUGAUAAUUAAAAUUAGAUUU
rnacentral:lncRNA from 1 species